AUGGUCACAUCACAUUGAAACACCUGUUCCUGUAUGAUCACUGAAGUUAAGCAAUAUUGAGCCUGGUUAGUACAUCAAUGGUUGACAGCUUGGGAAUACCAGGUGCUGUGA